AGCGAACGCUGGCGGUAGGCCUAACACAUGCAAGUCGAACGGCAGCACAGUUAGGGCUUGCUCUUACGGGUGGCGAAUGGGGGACGAGUGAGCUAUACAUCGGGAUCUACUUUUUCGUAGGGGUUAACGUAGGGAAACAUACGCUACUACCGCAUACGACCUACGGGUGAAAGCAGGGGAUCUUCAGACCUUGCGCGGUUGGAUGAGCCGAUGUCGGAUUAGCUAGUUGGCGGGGUAAAGGCCCACCAAGGCGACGCUCCGUAGCUGGUCUGAGAGGAUGAUCAGCCACACUGGAAGUGAGACUCGGUACAGACUUUUACGGGAGGAAGCAGUGGGGAAUAUUGGACAAUGGGCGCAAGCCUGAUCCAGGCAUACCGCGUGGGUGAAGAAGGCCUUAGGGUUGGAAAGUCAUGUUGUUGGGAAAGAAAAGCAGCAGGUUAAUACCCCGCUGUUCUGACGGUACCCAAAGAAUAAGCACCGGCUAACUUCGUG
rnacentral:rRNA from 1 species